GUGGGGAAUCUUAGACAAUGGGGGCAACCAUGAUCUAGCCAUGCCGCGUGAGUGAUGAAGGCCUUAGGGUCGUAAAGCUCUUUCGCCGGGGAAGAUAAUGACUGUACCCGGUAAAGAAACCCCGGCUAACUCCGUGCCAGCAGCCGCGGUAAUACGGAGGGGGUUAGCGUUGUUCGGAAUUACUGGGCGUAAAGCGCGCGUAGGCGGAUCGGAAAGUUGGGGGUGAAAUCCCGGGGCUCAACCCCGGAAUUGCCUUCAAAACUCCCGGUCUUGAGGUCGAGAGAGGUGAGUGGAAUUCCGAGUGUAGAGGUGAAAUUCGUAGAUAUUCGGAGGAACACCAGUGGCGAAGGCGGCUCACUGGCUCGAUACUGACGCUGAGGUGCGAAAGCGUGGGGAGCAAACAGGAUUAGAAACCCCGGUAGUCC
rnacentral:rRNA from 1 species